GCUGGGGCCCGGCCUCCUAGGGCUGGUUUGGGAGCGGGGCGGGUCUCCGGCGUUUCUCAGCCGCGCGGGCCUGGGGCCGAGGGUGGCCGUAGCGAUGCCCUGCCUGCUGGCGACGUGCGGUAGGAACGUCGCUAUUAUACACGGGGAUUUUACAGCUUGAUAGGGUGACCACGCUUAUCAGUGUGGUUAACAUAGGCCAGCAAACACCUCGGCGUCGGGUGCCGGAAGGCGCGUGUCUCUUCCCUAACUGAGCCAUAGCCUCGAAACCCCGGCGGGUGGCUGCUAGUCCGACUUCAGCUGCAGCUUGCACACUAAGAAGCGGUUCUCCUACACCUCGGUGUAACUGGUGUAGCAGCACGAUUUACUCAUGCUUCUUCGGAAAGUGUGAGGCAGAAGUGUUUUUGCCGCCCUUACACCUUCCUGGUCCUGUUCCUCUGGCUUGACUGGGGAGGGUAGCCCUGAAGAUUCAGCUUCCGCUCAAAGCAAUCCCGUUACCUCCAAAAGAAAGGUUCUACCUAAAUUAAGGAAAUCAUCGUCAAGCUGCCAAGUUAUCUUCCGGAGGAAGCGAUUGGGCCUUUAGAAACACAGAAAGGGGAGGAGACGGGUUGAUCCUGAAUUCCGUGGCAAGGAAGGCUUUUCCUGCUCUGCCCUACUCCAUGGAGGAGCCGAUGAUGAGUCUUUAUCUUAUUUCUGUACCGGUUACUGUUUUCAUCUUCACCCUGGCCCUUAGAUUACUCUUAGCUGGAUUCAUUGAACUUUAGACUCUAAGAAGACCUUUGAGAUUAUGAAUCCCUCCUUAUGAAACCUCUCAUUUUGCAGGUGAGACGUUGAAGCCCUUACAGUAGAAGCCGGCAAGAUAAAACUUGUGUCAUACCUUCUUCACCAGUAAUUCUUCAUACCACAUGCACUGACAAGGAUUAUUCAAGGUCGGCUCAGACUUACUUAGGCGACAUCACUUAAGUUUGUUUUUAGUGAUGUGUGUAGGUAAAGGAGAUCAGUUCUUUUGAAAAUAAGUGCCAUAUUUCCUAUCCAAAAAAAAAUUUUUAUUACAAAUAUAUUUUAAAUUCAUAUUGUAAAACACUGACAAGAAUAGCAACUAAGGUAUGAUGGUUGGGUUAGUAUGGUGUAUUAGCAAUUUUUUUUUUCCUUCUCACAUCUCUGCAAAGAGGUUUAUUUAUUUAUUUAUUUAUUUAUUUUUUGCAAAGAGGUUUAAUAUUUAAUGAUUUGUGAAAUGUUGUCAUUACCUCCAGUAAAAGCAGUAACUACUACCUCA